GCCAGGGUGGCGGAGCGGCUACGCGGUUGAUUGCAGAUCAACUACAUCCCGGUUCAAAUCCGGGCCCUGGCUC
rnacentral:tRNA from 2 species